UACGGAGGGGACUAGCGUUGUUCGGAAUUACUGGGCGUAAAGCGCACGUAGGCGGAUUUGUAAGUCAGGGGUGAAAUCCCGGGGCUCAACCUCGGAACUGCCUUUGAUACUGCAAAUCUCGAGUCCGGAAGAGGUGAGUGGAAUUCCUGGUGUAGCGGUGAAAUGCGCAGAUAUCAGGAGGAACACCGAUGGCGAAGGCAGCUCGCUGGGACGGUACUGACGCUGAGACGCGAAAGCGUGGGGAGCGAACAGG
rnacentral:rRNA from 1 species